rnacentral:rRNA from 1 species
UACGUAGGGACCAAGCGUUGUUCGGAUUUACUGGGCGUAAAGGGCGCGUAGGCGGCUUAACAAGUCACUUGUGAAAUCUCCGGGCUUAACUCGGAACGGCCAAGUGAAACUGUCAAGCUAGAGUGCAGAAGGGGCAAUCGGAAUUCUUGGUGUAGCGGUGAAAUGCGUAGAUAUCAAGAGGACCACCUGAGGUGAAGACGGGUUGCUGGGCUGACACUGACGCUGAGGCGCGAAAGCCAGGGGAGCAAACGGG